rnacentral:rRNA from 1 species
AUACGUAGGGGGCGAGCGUUGUCCGGAAUGAUUGGGCGUAAAGGGCGCGUAGGCGGCCCGGUAAGUCUGGAGUGAAAGUCCUGUUUUUAAGAUGGGAAUUGCUUUGGAUACUGUCGGGCUUGAGUGCAGGAGAGGUAAGUGGAAUUCCCAGUGUAGCGGUGAAAUGCGUAGAGAUUGGGAGGAACACCAGUGGCGAAUGCGGCUUUCUGGACUGUAACUGACGCUGAGGCGCGAAAUUGUGGGGAGCAAACAGGAUUAGAUACCCUGGUAGUCCACACUGUAAACGAUGAAUGCUAGGUGUAGGGGGUAUCGACCCCUUCUGUGCCGCAGUUAACACAAUAAGUAUUCCGCCUGGGGAGUACGGCCGCAAGGUUGAAACUCAAAUGAAUUGGCGGGG